rnacentral:rRNA from 1 species
GACGAACGCUGGCGGCGUGCUUAACACAUGCAAGUCGAACGCUGAAGCUCAGCUUGCUGGGUGGAUGAGUGGCGAACGGGUGAGUAACACGUGAGUAACCUGCCCUCUUCUUUGGGAUAACGCCCGGAAACGGGUGCUAAUACUGGAUAUUCACUGAUUCUCGCAUGGGGGUUGGUGGAAAGGUUUUUUCUGGUGGGGGAUGGGCUCGCGGCCUAUCAGCUUGUUGGUGGGGUGAUGGCCUACCAAGGCUUUGACGGGUAGCCGGCCUGAGAGGGUGGCCGGUCACAUUGGGACUGAGAUACGGCCCAGACUCCUACGGGAGGCAGCAGUGGGGAAUAUUGCACAAUGGGCGAAAGCCUGAUGCAGCGACGCCGCGUGAGGGAUGGAGGCCUUCGGGUUGUAAACCUCUUUCGCUCAUGGUCAAGCCGCAGCUUUGGGUUGUGGUGAGGGUAGUGGGUAAAGAAGCGCCGGCUAACUACGUG